CGGCGUCCUCCGCAGCGCCACCUCCCGGAAGAGCCGGGGAUGGCUCGGUCCGCGCCCCGCCAACCGGCCGAGAGAAGCCCGGGUGGGCGUUUUUGAGCUGGAAAUCCUGAGCAGAUGGAGCGUGCAGAUCACCUUCUGCUGCGGCCGGUUUUACUGCGAGGCGAGGUGCCCGGCAGAGGCAGGGGGCGGCCCACGGUCAGGUCGACGGCGCUAACAUCACAGCGCCAUCGGUGCGCAAACGGCCCGGGCCUUUGACGUUUGUUACGUUACAGCCGCUCUCGCUGUCUCUGGAGAAGUUUCCUCCCUGGAGUAUGAUUUUCCGAGAGAGGAGCAUGCACCACACAGAGGUCAAUACAAGUUUUUCCUCCUCAAAAUAAUGUAUGGGUCCUCGAAUUCAAUUCGUCACGAGAUGGUCAACAUUUGGUACGUGGACCGCGACCUGGUCCCCAAGAGAGAACAAUCAGAGCGCUCAAGGUAUUCGGCCACAGUCCUGAAAAAAUACGGUUUCGAGCUGUCCAGACCCCUGGCAAGGGACAGAUGGCGAGAGGACAGACAUGCAAGGUGGACGAAGCACUACCCCAGGCCCAGCCCCCAGCGGUGUGUGGUGCCCGGAGCGCCCCAUUUCAGCCCGAGACCCCCACCUCCUGUCGCCGAGUCAUCCCCAGCGACCCCGCCCGACUGGGCUGAAAUGAAGCUUUAUUUUAGCCCUUGUCGCCGCGAUCUGUAUUCACGUCUUUCUCCGCAAUUAGUAGAUGCUCAGUUAUUAUUUGUGAAAUUAAAUUCAGAGCACUCUGAGCAGCGCCAUUAGCGCAAAUUGAAUUUAGAUGUAAUAUACCCAAGGCAGACCUCAGAGCCCAGCACUGUGAAGUGACAACUGAGAUUACCUAAUACACCGCCGAGAAUUAAAUUGCCGUCAGCCUCUUGCCUGCAUUUUCUGCGUUGUCUAUAGAGGCCCAGAGCUGUCAUCCCAGCACUCGGGAGGCUGAGGCAGGAGGAUUGCC